UAUUUUACAUCACCCUUGAAAUCUUUAGUCUUUAAUACAUUUUUAAACAGUUACUUGGAUACUUAAAAAAUCUCUCUGGUAAAUGAAUUGACAAAGAAUAUUAAAGAAGAGAAAAUGUCAGAAUCAUGAAACUCAAGAACACAAUGUGCAGCUUGCAAGCUUCAUAGGAGAAAAUGCAAAGAAGAUUGUAUAAUUGCGCCCUAUUUACCGGCUUCGGAGAGCAAAAAGUACACUAGAUUACACAGCCUAUAUGGUUCAAGCAAUCUUAUUAAGCUUUUAACAGAUAUUAAUCCUAACCAAAGAGCAGAAGCUAUAGAUUCACUUGAUUAUGAAGCUCAACAGUACCGUCGUGAUCCGGCUUACUGGGCCGCUCAAUUUUCAUAUUUCGAGCAAAAAUACAAUCUGUUACAGGAUCGGAUUUUAGCUGCAAAGCAAGAAUUGUCUACUAAUUAUAUCAAAUCUAAUGCAAUUCAACGCGUUUUGUCGCAACAAACGGGUGCUGAAGAACUGACCACCCGGGAAUUUUUCCCAAGGUCUGCUCGUGUUGAAAUAAAUCGGCCACAGAAUUUGGUUGAGAAUAGUAAACAAUUCUCCGCGAAACGACUAGAGCUGAAGCUUUUUGAAGAACAAGAGGAUGAGGAGGAGCUAAUUCAACUAAAUCAAUCUGAUAUAAGCGUAAUUAAAUGUUGCAUGUGUGGAGAUUCUGGCCUUUCUUCUCAGCUUUUUCAAUGCAAAAUUUGUCAAUCCACAUCACAACGCAGCGGUGAAGACGGACAGCAACACCCAGAACUAGAAAAGAAACAGCAGACUGAAAAGGAAAAGGAAAAGAAAACUGGUCCAUCUUCAUGAAAGUUCUCUGCUAGUGAUCAUAUUAACUUUCUUGCUGUGCAAGAUCUGAUAUAAAUUGGUGGAUACUCAUACAGCAAAACAGAGGAUGAUUUUUUUGUGGAGAAAUAACAUUUGUAGUUUACAAGUUGCUUUCAUAUCUUAGAACAGCUUAAUUGCCUUGCUUGCAUAAUUCAUUCAUAGUGAAGAUGAAGUGUAAAACCUCAUAGUAUAGUUUUUUUUAGAGUUUUUAGCAUAAAACGACGUAGUUUAAUGGCCAAAUGUCGUAAAAAGGCCAAACCUUUCAUAAAAGUUUCACAAAAGUCCUGACCUUUCAAUUUUGUCGAUUUUGGCCAAAAACAAAUUAUUUGGUUUCAAUUGUGGCCAACUCUCAAUUUGAUUUCAAUUUGCCUAUGUGGCGCCUAUGUGCCGCCUAUGUGGCAUGCCAAAUAUUGAAAGGUUAGGACUUUUGUGAAACCGAAUAAUCCAUUUUUGGCCAAAAUCGACAAAAUUGAAAGGUCAUGACUUUUGUGAAACCAAAUAAUCAGUUUUUGGCCAAAAUCGACAAAAUUGAGAGGUCAGGACUUUUGUGAAAUUUUUGUGAAAGGUUUGGCCUUUUUACAACAUUUGGCCUAGUUUAAUUGAUGACGUUCAUGUAUUAAACGACAUAAUUUUAAUGUGUAAAACGAAACAUUUUGACGUGGCAACAUACAUAUGUGGCAUCUCCAGAGUUUUGAUUUGCCAAAAAUUAAAAGUCGGUGAGUGAUUUUAUAGACUAAUUACACAUACUUUAUAUGAUUAUACAGACUAAAAAUUAUAUGUUCAUCAUUAAUUUUACCAAAUUUUAAAGUUCCUAUCACAAAUGCAAAAGACGUUAAAAUUUGUGAUUUAAUUACAAGUAGUAAACCAUAAUAGUUAAAAACACUCAUGUCAUGAAUUUUUAAAAAAGUUAAACCAUCAAUUUAGAAAGAAACAAAAAUUUAGAUAUUAGAGUAAUAUUUUAUGUUAUGAGACAUUGAGGACAUUGAAUUCUUGUAUAUAUAUUUUACACAUCACCGUUGAAUUCUUGAGUUCUUAGUACAUUUUUUUUAUUAGAUUUCUCGACUUUUAACUGGUAAGUUCAAUUUCUUCAUUCCAUAAUUUUUCAUGCAAUACGAUGUCGUAUAAUAUCCCUCUUGAGUCUUGUCUCUCUUGUCGACAUAUGGUUUGUUUUCUUUAAUUUUCUCCUCUUUUGCAUCAACUCUGUUUGGAUACCAAGAAAAUAUUUAAGUUGGUUUCCGUUUCGUCUCGUGAAUUUCUUUAAUUAAUAACUUUUAUAAAAAAAAUGAAAAUUUAAGCUUGUUUGAUUAUUUAAUUUUAGUUUCUUGGUUUUAAAGAUUCUAAACAGUAACUUAUCAACAAAUAUAUGACAGAUACCAAAUAGCAAAUAUACAAUAGAUUGAGCACCAUCGGAAUCAAUUAGUCUCAAAUUAUUAUCAAAAUUUUAAAUUUAUGAGCUAGGUAAUUGUUUGCCUACGAUUUUAUGCAGGUCCGCCGAUGAUAAAGAUAAUCGACCACAUCAACAACAACAAUCGGAAUAGGCAGCAUAAUCUGAUGCAACUGCAAAAACAGCAGCAACUUUCAAAAAAACUAAUGGAGGUGGAUCUUUUUCUAGAACAAGAUGAUCCGAAACCACAAGACGAGGAGGAAAUAAUCCGACUAGAACAACACACAAAACAGCUUUUACAAGACGAAGUGACUGAAAAGAAAACUGGUCCAUCUUCAUGAACAUUUUUGCUAUUUGAAGAAACUUUCUGUUCAAGCAAAAAAUUUAGAGCAUCAGCAACAACAGAAGAGGCAGCAUAAUCUAAUGCUACUGCAAAAACAGCAGCAAAAACUUUUCACAAGGUUCGCUCAUGAUAGAGGUAAUCGGCCGCAGCAUUUGGUUGUGAAUAAUAUGCAAUUCUCUAGUGCGAGUUAUGAGCAACAGCAUAGUCUACUGCCACUGCAAAAAUAGCAGCAUAACCUAAUUGAAUGUUACAUUUGUAAAGAUUCUGGCCUAUCUUCUCAGCUUUUCCAAUGCAAGAUUUUCUAAUUCAGAUCACAA